rnacentral:rRNA from 1 species
UACGUAGGGUGCGAGCGUUGUCCGGAAUUAUUGGGCGUAAAGAGCUCGUAGGCGGCUCGUCGCGUCGACCGUGAAAACCCGCGGCUUAACUGCGGGCUUGCGGUUGAUACGGGCGGGCUAGAGUUCGGUAGGGGAAACUGGAAUUCCUGGUGUAGCGGUGAAAUGCGCAGAUAUCAGGAGGAACACCGGUGGCGAAGGUGGGUCUCUGGGCCGAUACUGACGCUGAGGAGCGAAAGCGUGGGGAGCGAACAGG